UGGAGCAGACACCAGUUGCAGGUAAUUGGGUAAUUACUUGGCAGGGCAGUAUUCAGCUGUAGGUAAUGGGGUAGAUAGGUCCCCUCCCCCUUUCCUUCCUUCCCUUUCUCCUUCCUGGCUGUGAGGCUGAAGCCCCAGGAGUAUGAGAUCUGUUAGGUGCUGGUUUUUCUCAAGACUAGUGGUUGGAGGAUUCCCACUACGGCUGUGCUGCUGGGUCUUUUCCUCAGGUGUUUACUACUUUAGCGGUUUCCAGCAGUGAUCGCUGAGAGGGCACGUUGUUUCAGGCGUGCUGGUAAGUAGUGGAAGUAAGAAGACCUUCGGGUCUAACUAUCCUCCUCCCUUAUCGGUAAGUGUUUGGUCCUCUUUCCCCAGAUGUGGGUUACACAUUUGGUAUAAUUAUUUUGGUGUGGGCUUUACCUUUUUAUACGUAAAGUCGUUACCCUGGCGAUUCACACAGCUCAAUCAUCUUUGAUUUCAGCCCCGAUUCCUGGGCAGAUAUAGGGUUCACAGGUUUUUACCAGAUAUUGGUUUCUACACCCCACAGUGGGGUUUUCACUUGGUUUGGGAUGUUUCUGGAAUAGAUUUAUACUCUGGGAUCCAGACUUCCUUCCUUUGUGGAACUUUUACCCUCCCGAUUAGGGAUAUUAGCUUGCUAUGUCCCAGUAAGUGUUGACAUGGAGUGGCCAGGGAAUGAGGAAAAUUGUAUCAUACUU